UACGGAGGAUCCAAGCGUUAUCCGGAUUUAUUGGGUUUAAAGGGUGCGUAGGCGGCUUGAUAAGUCAGUGGUGAAAGCCGAUCGCUUAACGAUCGAACUGCCAUUGAUACUGCCAGGCUUGAGUAUAGAUGAGGUAGGCGGAAUUGACAGUGUAGCGGUGAAAUGCAUAGAUAUUGUCAAGAACACCAAUUGCGAAGGCAGCUUACUAAGUUAUAACUGACGCUGAGGCACGAAAGUGCGGGGAUCAAACAGG
rnacentral:rRNA from 1 species